UAGUGUUUCUUUGCCACUGCUCUCAGGCAAGGCGAUAAGGUCCAGACUCAUUAACGGCAGACUGGCAGGCCUCUAAAAUCCCCUAGUGGUUACCCAUCCUCCAACAUCAAAUAGGGCCAUCGUGCAGAGGGAGGAGCAAACACAGGACGGCCUCCCUCUUCAAACAACAGCUACUUUUGACCUACAUCUGCAACCAGUUAGCUGCACAGGUCCACGUUACACAACAUUAGGAUCUCUUUUCUGUGUAUCCAACAUGUUGCAUGCAUCAAGAACAAAGCACUGUCUAUCAGAAGACUGCACUCAGAAACUGAUUUCAUUUGGUGAUGUAGAUGUUUGUACCCAGUGUCUAGCACCAUAUGAAAUCAGAGUUCUGGGAGGUGGAUGAUCAGCAUGUUCGGGCGCUGUACAUGAAUUAAACUGUAAUAUGAGAUGCCACAAAGUAGGUCAUAUUUGUAAAAUGUACCCUCUGCCCCCCUUCAUUCACUAACUGGUAACAGCUGCUGCUCUACUUCUUGUUGAAUGUUGUUUCUCUCUGAUUGGCUCAAACAUACUUUCAUCAUGAAUCCAGUUUCAUUGAUACAUUUUAACCCAUAAGCUUUGUCAGAGGCCGUAUUGUACUUUUGAGGUUUUCCGUUUCCUGUAGUCAAAGUCAAAGUCCACUUUAUUGUCAAAGUUUCCACAUGUGUUAUACAUACAGAAAAUUGAAAUAUCGUUUCUGGCAGUCCCACCGUGCAAAUACAAACAAGAACAUAUAACAUAAAAACAUAAGAGCGUACGUGUGUUAUAUAAGAUUUUGUGCAUGUAAAUGGUCUGCAUAGGCUAAAAUCCCACAGUUUCUCUCCACCCCUGCCUGAAACGCCUCCAUUGGACCCCUUAGUUUACUUCAGUAACAUAAUGACAUCACUAUGUAACACUCUCACUUCUGUUGGCUAGCACUCCAACACAUUGUAGGUGAUAGGCCUGGGGGGGCAUCUCUUAGCAGCUGACCAAUCACAACAGAGCUGGCCAUACACGACCAAGUAAGUUAUGUAGCUUUUCACAGUGAGACAAAUUAAAAGGUCUUUCUAAAGCUAUCAUUUUUUUGUUACACCUACUGGCAUGCUUUAAUCAGCUCACUCUACUUAUGUGUAGUAGAAGUUUUGUUUUGACUGUUUAAGAAAUCUACUGUUUAGAAUUGACAGUUAUCAUACUGGGAUUUUGAGGCAAACUGGAUUUGCUUCACAUACUGUAUGUAUAAAAUACUGAAAAUAACCUGUAUUUUGUGGUAAUAAAUUGUAAAAUGAG